rnacentral:rRNA from 1 species
GAUGAACGCUGGCGGCGUGCCUAAUACAUGCAAGUAGAACGCUGAAGGAGGAGCUUGCUCUUUCCGGAUGAGUUGCGAACGGGUGAGUAACGCGUAGGUAACCUGCCUGGUAGCGGGGGAUAACUAUUGGAAACGAUAGCUAAUACCGCAUAACAGUAGAUAUUGCAUGAUAUUUGCUUGAAAGGGGCAAUUGCUCCACUACCAGAUGGACCUGCGUUGUAUUAGCUAGUUGGUGAGGUAACGGCUCACCAAGGCGACGAUACAUAGCCGACCUGAGAGGGUGAUCGGCCACACUGGGACUGAGACACGGCCCAGACUCCUACGGGAGGCAGCAGUAGGGAAUCUUCGGCAAUGGACGGAAGUCUGACCGAGCAACGCCGCGUGAGUGAAGAAGGUUUUCGGAUCGUAAAGCUCUGUUGUAAGAGAAGAACGAGUGUGAGAGUGGAAAGUUCACACUGUGACGGUAUCUUACCAGAAAGGGACGGCUAACUACGU